rnacentral:misc_RNA from 1 species
GUCAAUCCUCCUAGGUUCUUGUGCAUUUGCUACCUAUAAAAACCUAUGUUGGUUUUAGGGGGGCAGGUGGUGAGUUAGGAGGCUUAGUAAGCAUAAAUUACUUAAAACAAUCAUAUUUUCCUUCUAUCACAUACACAUGAGUGUAUCAAUCGCAUGAAUGCGACAAAUCUCAAACAUUUGCAAACAUGACAGCCAUGUCACCGGUGAUUCCCCGAUAAACCAAUAUGCCCUUCUCAUAAAGAAGCUUCUUGGGGCUUCCUCUUUCUAUUUCCGAUAUGCUCGGCUCAUAA